rnacentral:rRNA from 1 species
CCUACGGGAGGCAGUAGUGAGGAAUAUUGGUCAAUGGACGGAAGUCUGAACCAGCCAUGCCGCGUGCAGGAAGACGGCUCUAUGAGUUGUAAACUGCUUUUGUACAAGGGUAAACCUGAAUACGUGUAUUCAGCUGAAAGUACUGUACGACUAAGGAUCGGCUAACUCCGUGCCAGCAGCCGCGGUAAUACGGAGGAUCCAAGCGUUAUCCGGAUUUAUUGGGUUUAAAGGGUGCUUAGUCGGAUUGAUAAGUUAGAGGUGAAAUGUCCGAGCUUAACUCGGGAACUGCCUCUAAUACUGUUGAUCUAGAGAGUAGAUGCGGUAGGCGGAAUGUAUGGUGUAGCGGGGAAAUGCUUAGAGAUCAUACAGAACACCGAUUGCGAAGGCAGCUUACCAAUCUAUAUCUGACGUUGAGGCACGAAAGCGUGGGGAGCAAACAGGAUUAGAUACCCGGGUAGUC